UAACGCUGGCGGCGUGCCUAAUACAUGCAAGUCGAGCGGACAGAUGGGAGCUUGCUCCCUGAUGUUAGCGGCGGACGGGUGAGUAACACGUGGGUAACCUGCCUGUAAGACUGGGAUAACUCCGGGAAACCGGGGCUAAUACCGGAUGGUUGUUUGAACCGCAUGGUUCAGACAUAAAAGGUGGCUUCGGCUACCACUUACAGAUGGACCCGCGGCGCAUUAGCUAGUUGGUGAGGUAACGGCUCACCAAGGCAACGAUGCGUAGCCGACCUGAGAGGGUGAUCGGCCACACUGGGACUGAGACACGGCCCAGACUCCUACGGGAGGCAGCAGUAGGGAAUCUUCCGCAAUGGACGAAAGUCUGACGGAGCAACGCCGCGUGAGUGAUGAAGGUUUUCGGAUCGUAAAGCUCUGUUGUUAGGGAAGAACAAGUGCCGUUCAAAUAGGGCGGCACCUUGACGGUACCUAACCAGAAAGCCACGGCUAACUACGUGCCAGCAGCCGCGGUAAUACGUAGGUGGCAAGCGUUGUCCGGAAUUAUUGGGCGUAAAGGGCUCGCAGGCGGUUCUUAAGUCUGUGUGAAAGCCCCGCUCAACCGGGAGGGUCAUUGGAA
rnacentral:rRNA from 1 species